AUAUACCGUCCGGUGGCAGACGAAUCGGACGGACAAACGGACAGACAACGAAGUCUGAGUGAUAGGGUCCCGCUUUUACCUUUUGGAUACGGAACCCUAAAAACGGAACCUGGUAUAAAAGUAUU